GGUUCCGUAGUCUAGUGGUUAGGCAGAGCUCUGCAAAAGCUCCUACGUCGGUUCGAUUCCGUCCGGAACCU
rnacentral:tRNA from 1 species